GAUUUUUAAUGGCUCCUCUCAAAGAUUAACAUCUCUUCACUAAAUACAGAAGAAUUCCAUAUGUAAUGAAUUUCCAGCCUCCAUGAAAACAAAAUGGACUCUUUCAUGCUGUCUCAACAUAUGAAUACAUUGCUCUGUCACCUGGGUGUUAUUACCGACUUAAAUCUGAAAGAAGCUGGGCACGGCAGUGGUGUGUGGGUGCCUGCAGUCCUGAGGAGCUGGGACUGUUUCCCGAACAAUGCCUUUCCACCACACACGGUGGUUGUGAGGGCCAGCUGAGGCAAAGCCCUCAGGAAGACCACUCAAGCCCAGGAGUCCAGCCUGCGCAAGACAGUAAGACCCCUUAAAAAAAAAAAAAUCUGAAAGAAAAUAUAGAGCCAAAUCUUUAGAUAAAUGCUUUAUUAUUUUCUCAAAAUGUUAUAAAAGUCAUUUCUCCUUAGUACAGAGAGCUUUAUACAUUUUAUCUAGUAAUGAAUACAAUCUAGUUUAACACUCAUCUAUUUUACUAACAUUUCCUUAAUUUUCAAUUCGUAUUUUUCCUUUUCUUUCCUGAUUUUAGCUUUUUUUAGGCUUCUGUCACCACAAAAUGUUACUUGGAAAACUAGAUCCCAGCAGAUGACCUGUACUUCUCUGCUCUCUCCCCUACUGCAAAGAGGCAGUGAGGGCAGCAUUAGUAAGCCUGACUCAGGGGAAGGUAAGUGGCCUGCAGAGAAAUGGUCCUAGGUCCGCAACCGAGGCGAGUGAACUUGUCGGACAGAUGAAGACUCUAACUGGAAGAAACGAUCAGCGCAUUCACGGAUGCACCACCAUCCAGAAAUCUCCCGGUGGCUUCCAUACAAAAACUGAUGUUUCUAAAGAUGGAAAGAACAGGUCUAGGAGGCAGAAGAGUAUCUCCUAGCAAAGUGUUCUGUAGCUCAAAGGUCAGGAGCACGUCUUUGAAUUCCUCGCAGACGAUGUAUCCAUCAGUCCUGUGGGGACACAACGCGAUGUCAACCCUCGAACCUGCUGCCUGCUCUGCCUCUCCUCCCUCCCCAG
rnacentral:lncRNA from 1 species